CAAAAAUACACCUAAACCUAGACUCUACCUAUAAAUUAAUGCUUUAAAAAAUCAAAAGGAAAAAAAAGGAACGGAGGAAACAGAUAAUGGGGGAUCCCUUUCUCUGAAGAAGAUAGCGGAGCAAAAGAGAGGGACUCUCUCUAGUUUUCCCUUCAGCGGCGAGUUUCCCAUCUUGCUCCCCUUCGUUAUUCGAUCUUCUUCUCCUUCUUCUAUCACUCAUCUCCCUCAUUCGAAAUUCCCAUAAACACACAUGUAAUAGAGAGGAAACAACUUUGAAAUUAAAAAAAAAAGAUCAAAAAAAAAUCAGCAGAUCUGGAAGCUUUAAAGUUUAAAAGUUUUUCCUGGGUUGGUGCUAUUCGAAGUUUGAAUCGUCGAGUCUGCUGUUGCUGAGCUUCGAUCUUCUAUUUUGCUGGCCCUUAUUUGGGUCAACUUGGUUAUUUCUUUCGCUUAGCAGGUAAACACAAAAGCUUUGUAAUUAUUUAUAUUUUUAAAUGAUAAGAAACAUGAAUUUCUCCAUAAAUGCUGAAUGGUUUUAAGCUGUGAUGAAUUUUUUCUGUUAAUGUUUAUGUGAAAAAUAGUGAAUAAGUUAGUUAGCUACUGAAGCGUGAUGGCAACAUCCGAAAAAAUGGUUCAAACAAAUUUGGAUACUUGGUAUGGGUGUUUUAAUAUUGUCCGUUUUUUGCUGGUUUAAUCUGAAAUUGUAGGCAAUGGUCCUAAUCCCAUGAAAGACACUAGUAUCAUGUUUUCCAUAAAAAUUGUUCUCAGAUCCAUUUUAUUAUGGAAUUACUGUUGUUGUUUAGCUUGUAUAUGAAAUAAUGGUUUAGAACCCACAUGUGUGCAUACUGAGUUUGUGUGCGUUUUUAGUUGGUUUUGUGAGCAGUAGUUUAGUGCUUUGAGGUUCAUUUUGCCGAUUUGUUGUUGCUUGCUGAAGAAAAUGGGAAUUUCGCACACCACGAUUGAGGGAAAACAUUUGCAUUAAUAUUCUCCGUACGAUCUGCCUCCUUAGCUUCUUCUUGAACCAUAUAGUAUGAAUUAAUAGUACACGAAUCAAAAAUGUAAACAAGCUUAAUUAGUGGGAUUUCAUAAAAGGCGAUGAAAAAAAAAAGAGAAAAGGAGAUCAAGAAAGCUGAGGGUUUGACUACAAAAACGUGAGAAAGCUUACGAGAAAUAUUGAGUUGCUUCUUUUGAGCUUUUCCCAUUGAAAAUGAUACUAGUAUAUAACCAAGUGCUUCGAAUUUGUCAAGAUCCGCUACUCUCCCAUUGAUUUUGUUAUUGUUCUAAUUUGCUUCAUCCCUUUUGGAAUUGGAUUAUGUACUACUGAAUUUGCUCAUUCUUUCUAGCUAUAAUAAUUCGUCAUUCGAUUUGUUCUUUGAAGCAUUUGAUCAAUUUUUUUUAAAAAAAUUAGUAUUCCAUUAUCAACUGUUUCUCGUUUCCAAAUUCAUAUCCAAUUAGGUUGCUGGCUAACCCAUGAGUUAUCUGUAUAUGUUGUAAAAUAAUUAGCCAAAUUACAAAGUAGGUUUGUGAAGCCAUAAUGGUAAUUGCAGCUAUUAUCUCCCAAUGUUUAAUUUCUUAAAUCCAUGGCCCUCACUUAAUUAAUUUCAAUCCUUUAGAAAUCGAGGUGUUCCAUUUAGUUGAAUUUUCCAUGGCUCUCGCAAAUUAAAAAAAUGCGUAGUUGCUUUAGGCGCAUUAUUUUAAUAAAUUACCUUCUUAAACUCUGGUGCGCAUUUAUGUGACCCAAAUCCAAACUCAACAAUGUUAUGUAAAAUGUGUUGCGGACUACGAGUGUAUUUAUGUGACGUGGUUCAAAACAUAUUUUAAAUGACGUUGCAAUUUUCUUUAAAAUGAAUAAAAGCGGUUUUAAAGUUAAAAUGCACAUAGGUUUCAAACAUGUAUUAAAAUUAGGUAAUAGGUCAAUUAUAACAAUUGAGCGACCGUGCUAGAACCAAGGAACUCGGGAAUGCCUAACUCCUUCUCCCGGGUUAACAGAAUUCCUCACCUGGAUUUCUGGUUCGCGGACUGUAAUACAGAGUUAAUCUUUUCCUCGAUUCGGGAAUUGAACCGGUGACUUGGGAUACCAUAAAAUUAUCCCAAGUGGCGACUUUGAAUUUGAUAAAUAAAUAAAUAAUCCCGUUUCGAUUGUCACUUUAAUUGGAAAAAACUCCUAUAUACACUACUUUCGGGGGUGUAGUGAAAAAGGGAGGUAUGACAGCUCUGGCGACUCUGCUGGGGAUCGAACCCAGAAUCUCUGGUUCAGGGUUCAGAAUUCGAGCUUAGAUGAAUUGUUAUAUUUGGCUUUGUCUAUUAUCUGAUUUUAUUACUUGUUUGGUCCCUAAUGUGCUAAAUGUUGCUUUUACCGCUUUGAUAUUAUCUGAAACUGUAUAUAAACUGCUAUGAAACCCUUCUCUCCUCAUCUUCGGGGAUGUGCUCGCUGGUCGAGACUCCCUAUUCUGUUAGUGUCAUACCUUGAAAUAAGAAAGAGGCUCGGACAAGUUACUAAGCCGGAUGGCCUUUUGGUUCCCGGUACGUAGCCCCCUCCUCAGCUCGAGUUGUCCGCUCGGGUACACAAGUCUAGAACAAAUGCCCAGGUUUUGAACCUAGAAUAACUCAGCUUCAUGUCGGAUCCCUAGUAGGAACGUUUGUCUGCUUCACAUGCAUUUGACUUAGGGGACUCAACACAGGGGUUGGGUCCGUCUAGGACAGGUGUACCCAAAAUAACAGACCAUCUUGAUGCAUCCUAUGUGCUACAUGUUGCAUUUCUUCAAGGGUAAAAGGGUCAUUUGGCGGACUAAUGAUAAUUGAGGGCGAAUAAAAAGAAAAAGAAAAAAAAAAGAGAAAAAAAAGAGAGGCUGAAGUGUGAGGAUGAAGCGAGUAGGGCCCAAUUAUUUUUUUGUUACAUUUUAUUAGGAAAAUAAGAGCAUGGAAACUUCAAAAAGAUUUUGCACUUUUUAUCAUUUUUUAAAAAAUAAAAUAAAAAAUCGACAAAAAAAGAAAAGAAAAUCCAAAAGAUUUUAUAUGUUUCAUCAUUUUUCGAAAAAAAAGGAAAAAGUGUGUUUUCUAUAUGUGAGUUGUUUUUUUUAUUAUUCUCGCCUGUAUCCAAUCUGCCCGAACUACGUAUACCUGAUUCUCGUCUUUCGGGGCGUGAUACGUAGGCAACCCACAUAGGGUCCGAUCUUCCUAGUAAAUCUUAGGUUCUUGGAUUUGCGGGGUCAUAGCCAAAAUUUGCACUUCUAGCCACCUUUUGGCCAAAUAAGCCAGUUUGCAAAAAUAGCCUCAACCAUGUCUUCCAUGUGUCCAAUAGGGAGUGUUAUUAUCUCACAUAGUGUUUAUUUAAAGUUUUCUCAUACAUGUGUGAAUUUAUUUACCGAAGUUUGAGCAUGACAGACACCCCGUGACCAUCCGGUCAGGAUCGCUCAGUCAGGAGUUGCUUGAGGAGAUUUGUUUAUUUUUAAGUUUUGAGUCUGUUCUUCAUUUUGUGUCGUCUUUUACUUUUUAAUUUUGUACAGUAAUGUCAAGCCUUUUGUUAUUGUAAUUUUUGCUUUAUAUUUGAAAAAUAUGCUGUAACUCAAAAUCCAAAAAAAAAAAAGAGAUGUUGCAUUUUAUAUUUCGUUAUAAAUUUUCUUUAGAAUACUAAUUCUAGAAAUGAAAAAAAAA
rnacentral:lncRNA from 1 species